UGGGAUCAUUCUGUCACGUUUGGGCAUGGUCGUGUGGGGUAUCGACCCCAGGAUCCAGCAAUGAGGACCCAAUUGCAGGGAUCCAGUCCUGUGCAGGCUCAGGUAGGCUCGGUCCCUUUCCAGCCCCCCACCCAGCUCUCUGCGCAGGGCGGUGCGGCCCAGAUGACCGGCGUACUGACGCAGGAAAGAGGGAGCGCUGUGGGACGCAGGAGGAUGCAUGUUGCACACCACCAUCGGUUCUGAGGCACACGGUUGCAGGAGGAGCAGCGAGGACAGUUAAGAAAAGGAAAGAAGAGAAAACAAGGUAAGGUGGCUCAUCCAAAGCCAUCUGCUCCGCCAGUUCAGACAGGGAAUCAUCAACGGGCCGAGCGCUGCGUAACGACAUGGACAGCCUCCGUUUGAUUAUCUUCAUGCGGUCCAUCUUCUCAGACACGACACCAGGACCCAGAGGCCUGAAAGAGGGGAGACGGUCAUCAGCAUUAUUCGCAUCUUCAUAUUCAGUCAUAUCCGAACGCCGCCAUUCGUCUGCAUUGUGGAGCGAAUGUACUGCAGUGCAGCCUCUGCGCAUUUUCGACAGUCCUUUUGGGCUGCAAAUGAUUGUGUUUGCUCGUUCGGCAUGCGUUCUCAUUGUUAUGUAUCCCAUGUGCAAACCUUGCAGAAUGAAAGCCAAGAGAGGAAAGCCCCAACAAAAUAAAAGACAGCAGUCAUCCAAAUGAGCCAAAUGACUGACAC